GGCUCAUCCAGAGGGGCAGAGGGAACGGCCCAGCGAAGCCCCGGCAACCACCGACGCGAUCCUGCGCGGCAGGUGCUAAUUCCGACCCGGGACGCAGCCGGCGCCCGGGAAAGAUGAGGA
rnacentral:ncRNA from 2 species